rnacentral:rRNA from 1 species
GAUUAUGGCUCAGGAUGAACGCUAGCUACAGGCUUAACACAUGCAAGUCGAGGGGCAGCAUGAGAUUAGCUUGCUAAUCUUGAUGGCGACCGGCGCACGGGUGAGUAACGCGUAUCCAACCUUCCCCCUACUCAGGCAUAGCCCGGUGAAAACCGGAUUAACUCCUGAUAGUUUCACUAGAUGGCAUCUGACGGUGAAUAAAGCUCAGCGGUAAGGGAUGGGGAUGCGUCUGAUUAGCUUGUUGGCGGGGUAACGGCCCACCAAGGCGACGAUCAGUAGGGGUUCUGAGAGGAAGGUCCCCCACAUUGGAACUGAGACACGGACCAAACUCCUACGGGAGGCAGCAGUGAGGAAUAUUGGUCAAUGGGCGGAAGCCUGAACCAGCCAAGUAGCGUGCAGGACGACUGCCCUAUGGGUUGUAAACUGCUUUUAUAGGGGAAUAAAGUGAGGUAUGCAUACCUUUUUGUAUGUACCCUAUGAAUAAGGACCGGCUAAUUCCGUGCCAGCCGCCGC